UGAGUUAGACCCUGAGAUGGAGAGAUGAGGAAGUGGGGGAACUGCCGGGCACGCAAAUGCCACCAAUGCCACGGGCAUGGUUAAAGAGAGGCUGUUUUCCAGCUGCAGUGUUUUUCUCGUUGAUCAGAGAGAAAUCCCCAAGGUCUGGCAAAGGAAGCUUUUAAUUGCUCUGGAUGGACCGAUUUUUGGCUUAGCUGCUCAAGCAUAUAAUUGAAUGAGAGGGAAAGAGAAUAUCACUUUGAGAUUGCUUUGAGAUGAAUAUACAGUCAGACAUCCCCGCUCCUGACCAGAUCUCAAAGAUUCUCCUAGCCUGACUCCCACAAGCUCUGCGGACAGAGAACACGAAGCAUUCACUUCAUUUUCCUGAUCUUUAUCAAAA
rnacentral:lncRNA from 1 species